ensembl:misc_RNA Y_RNA Y RNA
CGCUGGUCCAAGUACAGCGGUGUUUACAACUAAUUGAUCACAACUAGUUACAGUUACUUUGUUCCUUCUCCACUCCCACUGCUUCACUUGACUAGCCUAAA